GCCUGGGAGCUGCUGGGAUGGAAAUGUUGAAAAAUCCUGUGUGUUGCCAGGACAACUUUCUGCCCUGUCACACCCAGACCUCUCCAGCGUCUUCUACAGCGAAGCCUUCCAGAGCAGAUGCUCAGUGCCUCAUUCCCUCACGGCCAUUUGCUUUCCAGGACCAUCUCGGUCAGCUGGGCCGGGGGAGGGAGGCCCAGAGAGGGUUUCUAAAGGAACUGCCUACCUCGAUGAUGCUCUGCUCUGAAAAUUAAAAGCAGCUAAGAAGAUGAGGUCCCUGCCCCCACCCCCGGGAGCUUCCAGUCUAAAGUCUGAGAGGAAGCAAACAGCUCGGAGGCUAAAAGCGCCUGCCCCGCUCCCCCUCCUGGUUCUCCCUCCUUUCUCUAAAGGGCAGGGGCUCCCAAGUUCACGGGAUCAAACUCUGCUUCCUCAACCAGCUGCAUCCUCCAGGCCACCCUCCCCUGCAGCCUAGGAAACCGCCCCCCUCAAGCCUUUCCCCCACCUCCAACUCCCCUGUUUCUGCAAGGACGUCCUCCUUCCUCCCUCACAUCAGGCUCUCCUUCCCUUCCCCCUUUGGCACUUGCCCACUCUUCUUCCUGUAAUCUCUUAUCUACAGGUACCCUUUUUUCUUUUUUUUCUUUCUUUAUUUUUUUGCCGUGCCCCAGCGGCUUGCGGGGUCUUAGUUCCCCCGACCAGGGAUCGAA